rnacentral:rRNA from 1 species
AGAGUUUGAUCCUGGCUCAGAUUGAACGCUGGCGGCAUGCCUUACACAUGCAAGUCGAACGGCAGCGCGGGGCAACCUGGCGGCGAGUGGCGAACGGGUGAGUAAUAUAUCGGAACGUACCCUGGAGUGGGGGAUAACGUAGCGAAAGUUACGCUAAUACCGCAUACGAUCUAAGGAUGAAAGUGGGGGAUCGCAAGACCUCAUGCUCCUGGAGCGGCCGAUAUCUGAUUAGCUAGUUGGCGGGGUAAAAGCCCACCAAGGCAACGAUCAGUAGCUGGUCUGAGAGGACGACCAGCCACACUGGAACUGAGACACGGUCCAGACUCCUACGGGAGGCAGCAGUGGGGAAUUUUGGACAAUGGGCGCUUUCUAUGAUCCAGCAAUGCCGCGUGAGUGAAGAA